CAAGUCGAGUGCGCAGUUCUCUGUAGCAAUACAGGGGAUGGGCGCACGGCGCACGGGUGCGUAACACGUGGGCAAUCUGCCCUCGGAUGGGGGAUAACUCGCCGAAAGGCGAGCUAAUACCGCAUGACAUUCCUGGGACUCCGGUCCCGGGACUCAAAGGCCGCAAGGCCGUCUGAGGAGGAGCCCGCGCCCGAUUAGCUAGUUGGUGAGGUAACGGCUCACCAAGGCUUUGAUCGGUAGCCGGUCUGAGAGGAUGGCCGGCCACACUGGAACUGAGACACGGUCCAGACUCCUACGGGAGGCAGCAGUGGGGAAUAUUGCGCAAUGGGCGAAAGCCUGACGCAGCGACGCCGCGUGGGGGAUGAAGCUUCUCGGAGUGUAAACCCCUUUCGACCCGGACGAAUGACCCGCAAGGGUUUGACGGUACGGGUAUAAGAAGCCCCGGCUAACUACGUGCCAGCAGCCGCGGUAAUACGUAGGGGGCCAGCGUUGCUCGGAAUUACUGGGCGUAAAGGGUUCGUAGGUGGUGCGGCAAGUCGGAAGUGAAAUCUCUGGGCUUAACUCAGAGGCUGCUUUCGAAACUGCCGUGCUCGAGUGCGGGAGAGGCCAGUGGAAUUGCAGGUGUAGCGGUGAAAUGCGUAGAUAUCUGCAGGAACACCCGUGGCGAAGGCGGCUGGCUGGACCGCAACUGACACUGAGGAACGAAAGCUAGGGGAGCAAACAGGAUUAGAUACCCUGGUAGUCCUAGCCCUAAACCAUCAGAACUUGGGGUGGCUCGCGUAGGCGAGUCGUCCCGUAGCUAACGCGUUAAGUUCUGCGCCUGGGGAGUACGGUCGCAAGACUGAAACUCAAAGGA
rnacentral:rRNA from 1 species